rnacentral:rRNA from 1 species
CCUACGGGUGGCAGCAGUGAGGAAUAUUGGUCAAUGGGCGCGAGCCUGAACCAGCCAAGUAGCGUGAAGGAUGACUGCCCUACGGGUUGUAAACUUCUUUUAUAAAGGAAUAAAGUGAAGCACGUGUACCUCUUUGUAUGUACUUUAUGAAUAAGGAUCGGCUAACUCCGUGCCAGCAGCCGCGGUAAUACGGAGGAUCCGAGCGUUAUCCGGAUUUAUUGGGUUUAAAGGGAGCGUAGAUGGGUUGUUAAGUCAGUUGUGAAAGUUUGCGGCUCAACCGUAAAAUUGCAAUUGAUACUGGCAGUCUUGAGUACAGUUGAGGGAGGCGGAAUUCGUGGUGUAGCGGUGAAAUGCUUAGAUAUCACGAAGAACUCUGAUUGCGAAGGCAGCUUACUAAACUGCAACUGACAUUGAUGCUCGAAAGUGUGGGUAUCAAACAGGAUUAGAUACCCUGGUAGUC